rnacentral:misc_RNA from 1 species
GAUGAAGAACGUAGUGAAAUGCGAUAAUUAAUGUGAAUUGCAGAAUUCAGUGAAUCAUCGAGUCUUUGAACGCACAUUGCGCCCCCUGGUAUUCCGGGGGGCAUGCCUGUCCGAGCGUCAUUGCUGCCCUCAAGCACGGCUUGUGUGUUGGGCUUCCGUCCCUGGCAACGGGGACGGGCCCAAAAGGCAGUGGCGGCACCAUGUCUGGUCCUCGAGCGUAUGGGGCUUUGUCACCCGCUCCCGUAGGUCCAGCUGGCAGCUAGCCUCGCAACCAAUCUUUUUAACCAGGUUGAACUCGGAUCAGGUAGGGAUACCCGCUGAACUUAAGCAUAUCAAUAAGCGGAGGA